rnacentral:sRNA from 1 species
AUGGCUGUCGUCAGCUCGUGUCGUGAGAUGUUGGGUUAAGUCCCGCAACGAGCGCAACCCCCGUCGCAUGUUGCCAGCAUUCAGUUGGGGACUCAUGCGAGACUGCCGGUGACAAACCGGAGGAAGGUGGGGAUGACGUCAAGUCCUCAUGCCCCUUAUGUCCAGGGCUACACACGUGCUACAUUGGCGCAUACAGAGGGCUGCGAUACCGCGAGGUGGAGCGAAUCCCUUAAAGUGCGUCUCGGUUCGGAUUGCAGGCUGAAAUUCGCCUGCAUGAAGGCGGAGUUGCUAGUAAUCGCGGAUCAGCAUUGCCGCGGUGAAUACGUUCCCGGGCCUUGUACACACCGCCCGUCACACCACGGGAGUGAGCAACACCCGAAGCCGGUGGCCUAACCCGCAAGGGAGGGAGCCGUCGAAGGUGGGGCUCGUGACUGGGGUGAAGUCGUAACAAGGUAGCCGUAGCGGAAGCUGCGGCUGGAUCACCUCCUUUCUAGGGAGCACAUAACAGUGCCCCGAUCGCAGCGACCGUCCGGCCUCGAGCUCUUCGGAGCACGAAGGAUCUGACGGCAUUCGAGCGGUCGGGCCUAGCAUGUCGACCGAACCUGGCUGGAUGGCCGUACGCCGCGCGUCUCCCUUACUACUUGGGGAGCACAAGCGGCCUCGGCCGCAAAACGACCCCAGCAUGCUGUUGAGUUUUGAGAGACCGGCGCCCGCCGGCGGUAGACGCAGACGCGAUCAAGAGAUCGUGCCCGCAGAUGUCGAUCGCAGGCCGGCGUUAUACGCCUCUCCACGGUCCUUGAAAACUGCACAGAAGCCACAAUUCAGCCGCCAUCGAUAAGCGGCGGCUGAAAACGGGUAUCACCGGGCCCUGCAAGGUCAACUACGUGAGCCGUGCUUCGUAAGAGGUGCAGCAAGCGUUUGCGAUCAUGUUGGGCCAGAUCACCGUCAAGAUAGUAAGGGCGCAUGGUGGAUGCCUUGGCACCAAGAGUCGAUGAAGGGCGUGAACGGCUGCGAUAAGCCACGGUUAGGCGCUGAAUAGCCUUUGACCCGCGGAUUCCCGAAUGGGGAAACCCGG